rnacentral:sRNA from 1 species
CACCAUCAAUGUCAAUGUGCGCGCACACAUACACACACGAAGGUAUGUGGUUCAAUUCUUGCGUGUACACCGGUUUCCUAUAGUUAGAUUUGCUUCCAAGUUGUGUGAUUGUUAUUAUCUUAUAUUUAUCUUAUAUUCAAAUGUAAUGACAAGGUAAUUGUAGGAAAACAAGCAAGGGCAACAAUUGAACUCAAAGAAUGAAGCAACUCAUUGGCAUCUUUCUGGCAUCUUCUAUUUUUACACUUUUCAUACGCGCUCAAGAAAAUGACCGCUUCUGUGACCCGGACGUCCCAUCCAGGUCUUUGACUUACAAGACAACGGCCCUGUUGUUGGAUUCCACCCAGAGCUGCGGUGCCGGUCAGUACUUUAACCAAACCCAAGUCAAAUGUUUGCCAUGUCCGUCAGAUACCUUCAUGACCAAGCUGAUGUCCGAGAAAAGAUUCGCCUGCUGCUUGCCGUGUUUGAAGGCUUCUGGGAUUGAGGUCCAAGCAGAAUCCUGCACGGAGACAAGGGACACAACUGUUAUGUGUACCAACGCUUACUUUCGCCUUAGAGACAUGAACUUGCCUUGUGCGUCCUCGUGCUCGAGGUGCGAGAUCUGCGGCGCGGGAACUUACUUAUACCAGAACUACGAGUUCCAGAAAUGUCAAGGUUAUGACGACACCAUCUGCUGCACCAGUCCAGACAUGAAACUGGUGAACAGGGUGUGCAUGCUCAGGAACACACCAGCACCUCUGAAAUCUGAAGACAAUGGAUCUGAGCGCGAAUAUUUUAAACUUUAUGUUGUAAUUAUUACUUUUAUUUUAGCACUCAUAGUGUAGGUUCAAAAUAGUAAUUAUUAUUUUGUUAGAAUAACUUAUAGAUAAAUUGCACAUAAUGCCAAGAAGACCUUUAAAAAAAGAUUUUCAUUAUGCCAGAAAAAAGUUUUAAAAGCUUGAUAACUGGUGUAUCCUGUGUACAGAAAAAGGGAAGUGCUGAUACAGUUAUGUCAUUUUUUUUACAAGUCAUAGGAUAAUAUUUGUGCGAUUUUUAGUACUUUAGACGAAUUACAUUUUAUAGGUUCAACUGUAGGAAGUUCUUUUUUUUUCUUUGGUAUUAAUUGUAUCAACGUUGAAGUUUAAUGUCUAUGGUUACAGUUUAGGUUGAAGUUUAGUAUCUGUGGUCGAAGUUUAGUAUCUGUGGUCGAAGUUUAGUAUCUGUGGUCGAAGUUUAGUAUCUGUGGUCGAAGUUUAAUGUCUAUGGUUGAAGUUUCAUUUCUAUGGUUGUAGUUUAAUGUCUAUGGUUGAAGUUUUAUUUCUAUGGUUGAAGUUAAAUGAAGCAUCCUUGAAUUUGUUUAGUUUAUUUUUUUAUUUUCUGAGAAUACAAAGUCUCGUCUCUAAGCUAAGCAUAAAAAAAAUUGGAUAAUGUUAGCCGCCUUCCUCGCUGUGUCUUAUGCAGUUAAGUCAAACGGAGGUAACUCUGCAGUAACGAAAUCCAAUAACACAGGCGAAAGGAUAAUACUAUGAGUUAGUCAACGCUGAUAGCGAAUGUCGAACAAGAAGUUAUAUAUUAACGAAGGGAACCGUCGAAUGUCGUCAAGCUAAAUCUCUACGUCCCUAAAACCUGCCUUUCUCUCUAAAAUCACCAAGAGUAGUCUGUUCACAUUUCGCUAUUCUUCUUAAAAUCCUAGCCUUGUUUUUAUUAGUUACGUCUUUGUCUCUAAGUCAAAACUUCCAUUUCUAAAUUAUUAAUGUCUAAUUCCAAACCAUGCCUUUACAAUAAUAACAUAAUCAAAAUGUUACUUGUUUAUACAAAUGAAUCAAUAAAAUUUUUAAAGAGACCAACCGUAUAGAGAAUUCAACGAUUAAUCGCAGAGUAAUAUACUUUACUCUCUUUAUGUUCAAUUUUGUAAGCCUCCUAUUUUGCACUCUUUAAGCAUUAAUAUAACAAAACUUAGGUAAAUAAGAGAAAGCGAUUAGUAGAAAUGUUAAGACGAUCAAAGGGUAACUGAAGAAAUGCUUCACUAACAGGGGAUGGAGAAAGAUAUGGGGAGAUUUUCAACUAGACUAAACAAAAUGAAAGCGAAAUGGAAAGAUUUUGUUGUACACUGGAUACACCAAGAAUCUAUUUAUAAUUUUCAGCUACUUUUAAAUACCAUCGUCUGGGGAAGUGAACUGAACUGAGAGUGUUUCAUAUAUGCUGGCGAGUUAGUCUUAUAAUUGGUGAUUAUGCAUGUGACUGUAGAAUGGGUAGAGUUCAGGUUCACUGUUAACAUUGUGCUGCAUAGAAUUAAUUAUAGCAUUUAUUGCUAAAUUUAA